UCCAUGCCACAAACAACCAUGGAGCUUGUGCCUGAUAAGCCAUUGCCUGAAAAGGGAAAGCUUUUACAGGCAGUGAUGAAAGCUGGUCCGCUCUUGCAAACCCUUCUUUUAGCUGGACCACUGCCUCAAUGGCGACACCCACCACCACCUCUGGAGUCCUUUGAGAUCCCACCUGUAACCAUUCCUUCACCACCACCACCCCCACAACUCCUCCACCAAGACUCCUUCCCCAGCAUUAACGCUUGCAACUCUCUAAACACCUGUGGUAAAUUAAACAGGAAAAGGAGUCUCUAUGAUGGCCCUGAUUCUCCUACAGAAACCAAGUACCAACGAUUAGUUCUCGAU
rnacentral:lncRNA from 1 species